rnacentral:tRNA from 1 species
AGCCCGAUCGUAUAAUGGUAGUACGUUAGAUUCUGAUUCUAAUUGUCCUGGUUCGAAUCCGGGUCGGGUGA